GCUGGGUGUGGUGGCCACACCUGUAAUCCUCAGCUUAGAGAGGCUGAGGCAGGAGGAUCACAGUUUCAAGGCCACCCUGGGGAACUUAGUGAGACCCUGUCUUCA
rnacentral:sRNA from 1 species